rnacentral:rRNA from 1 species
GUAGGGAAUAUUGCACAAUGGGCGCAAGCCUGAUGCAGCAACGCCGCGUGCGCGAUGAAGGCCUUCGGGUCGUAAAGCGCUUUUCUGGAGGAAGAGCAAGGACGGUACUCCAGGAAGAAGGAUCGGCUAACUACGUGCCAGCAGCCGCGGUAACACGUAGGAUCCGAGCGUUAUCCGAAUUUACUGGGCGUAAAGCGCGUGCAGGCGGUUUGGUAAGUUGGACGUGAAAUCUCCCGGCUCAACUGGGAGGGGUCGUUCAAGACUGUCAGACUAGAGGGCAGUAGAGGGAGGUGGAAUUCCCGGUGUAGUGGUGAAAUGCGUAGAUAUCGGGAGGAACACCAGUGGCGAAAGCGGCCUCCUGGGCUGCACCUGACGCUCAGACGCGAAAGCUAGGGGAGCGAACGGGAUUAGAUACCCCAGUAGUCC